GGUGCUAACGUCCGUCGUGAAGAGGGAAACAACCCAGACCGCCAGCUAAGGUCCCAAAGUCAUGGUUAAGUGGGAAACGAUGUGGGAAGGCCCAGACAGCCAGGAUGUUGGCUUAGAAGCAGCCAUCAUUUAAAGAAAGCGUAAUAGCUCACUGGUCGAGUCGGCCUGCGCGGAAGAUGUAACGGGGCUAAACCAUGCACCGAAGCUGCGGCAGCGACACUGUGUGUUGUUGGGUAGGGGAGCGUUCUGUAAGCCUGUGAAGGUGUGUCGUGAGGCAUGCUGGAGGUAUCAGAAGUGCGAAUGCUGACAUAAGUAACGAUAAAGCGGGUGAAAAGCCCGCUCGCCGGAAGACCAAGGGUUCCUGUCCAACGUUAAUCGGGGCAGGGUGAGUCGACCCCUAAGGCGAGGCCGAAAGGCGUAGUCGAUGGGAAACGGGUUAAUAUUCCCGUACUUGGUGUUACUGCGAAGGGGGGACGGAGAAGGCUAUGUUGGCCGGGCGACGGUUGUCCCGGUUUAAGCGUGUAGGUGUGUGUUCCAGGUAAAUCCGGUUCACUUUAACACUGAGGCGUGACGACGAGGCACUACGGUGCUGAAGCAACAAAUGCCCUGCUUCCAGGAAAAGCCUCUAAGCAUCAGGUAACAUCAAAUCGUACCCCAAACCGACACAGGUGGUCAGGUAGAGAAUACCAAGGCGCUUGAGAGAACUCGGGUGAAGGAACUAGGCAAAAUGGUGCCGUAACUUCGGGAGAAGGCACGCUGACACGUAGGUGAAGUGAUUUACUC
rnacentral:rRNA from 1 species